rnacentral:rRNA from 1 species
UUUUAUGGAAGCUUCGGUGGAAAUAGCUUGUUCCUAGUGGCGGACGGGUGAGUAACGCGUGGGUAACCUGCCUCACACUGGGGGAUAACAGCCAGAAAUGACUGCUAAUACCGCAUAAGCGCACGGGAUUGCAUGAUCCAGUGUGAAAAACUCCGGUGGUGUGAGAUGGACCCGCGUUGGAUUAGCCAGUUGGCAGGGUAACGGCCUACCAAAGCGACGAUCCAUAGCCGGCCUGAGAGGGUGGACGGCCACAUUGGGACUGAGACACGGCCCAGACUCCUACGGGAGGCAGCAGUGGGGAAUAUUGCACAAUGGGGGGAACCCUGAUGCAGCGACGCCGCGUGAAGGAAGAAGUAUCUCGGUAUGUAAACUUCUAUCAGCAGGGAAGAAAAUGACGGUACCUGACUAAGAAGCCCCGGCUAACUACGUGCCAGCAGCCGCGGUAAUACGUAGGGGGCAAGCGUUAUCCGGAUUUACUGGGUGUAAAGGGAGCGUAGACGGAGCAGCAAGUCUGAUGUGAAAGGCGGGGGCUCAACCCCCGGACUGCAUUGGAAACUGUUGAUCUUGAGUACCGGAGAGGUAAGCGGAAUUCCUAGUGUAGCGGUGAAAUGCGUAGAUAUUAGGAGGAACACC